rnacentral:rRNA from 1 species
GACGAACGCUGGCGGCGUGCUUAACACAUGCAAGUCGAACGGAAAGGCUCCAGCUUGCUGGAGUACUCGAGUGGCGAACGGGUGAGUAACACGUGGGUAAUCUGCCCUGCACUCUGGGAUAAGCCUGGGAAACUGGGUCUAAUACUGGAUAUGACCUUUCUCCUUAUGGGGUUUGGUGGAAAGUUUUUCGGUGUAGGAUGAGCCCGCGGCCUAUCAGCUUGUUGGUGGGGUGAUGGCCUACCAAGGCGACGACGGGUAGCCGGCCUGAGAGGGUGAUCGGCCACAUUGGGACUGAGAUACGGCCCAGACUCCUACGGGAGGCAGCAGUGGGGAAUAUUGCACAAUGGGCGGAAGCCUGAUGCAGCGACGCCGCGUGAGGGAUGACGGCCUUCGGGUUGUAAACCUCUUUCAGCAGGGACGAAGCGUAAGUGACGGUACCUGCAGAAGAAGCACCGGCUAACUAUGCG